UACGUAGGGUGCGAGCGUUGUCCGGAAUCAUUGGGCGUAAAGGGCGCGUAGGCGGCCGUCCAAGUCGGGUGUGAAAUCCCUCGGCUCAACCGAGGAACUGCACUCGAUACUGGUCGGCUAGAGUCCGGGAGGGGAUGGUGGAAUUCCCAGUGUAGCGGUGAAAUGCGUAGAUAUUGGGAAGAACACUGGUGGCGAAGGCGGCCAUCUGGACCGGAACUGACGCUGAGGCGCGAAAGCCAGGGGAGCGAAUGGG
rnacentral:rRNA from 1 species